GAGAUGCAUAUAGCAUCGUUUCGAUGCCUUUUGACUAAAUUCCGAAUGCGGUUUUCUUAUCUUUGGUUCAUCUUCGCUCGUGUCGUAGCUUGGCACGGUCGCCGCCAUAUUGUUUGUUUAUCGAAGCGCAUAGCAACAGUCCUCGUCUCCUAUUGGUGCACGUGACCUAAAAUGGCUUCACACACUGACGAUACGACUCCGCCGUAUCAAUAUCACUGCGCCACGGGGGGAAAAAAAGACCGACACGAAAACGCUAAUUACUAAAAAAUGACUGGAAACCCCUAAUGGGACAGUUUAUUCAAGCAGCACCACCUGCUCGCUUGACGCGGACAUCAAGACCAUGCCUGGUCGAAGUGAUGUAACAGCAUUGGGGCCUGGAAAUAUCAACUGUCUCCCUAGGUCAAUCAGGAGCUGCCAGUCUCAUGCUGUCGUGAGCAGUACCCCUUGGAUGGUUGAGCCUUCUCACCUGCUCGAACGAAAGCAACUGUGGUCCUGGAUGGGCCUUGCUACGUUGAUGCCGGAGCAGAUGGUUAAAACGGACAAAAGUUGAACAGUUUUUCCCCUCCCCAAAAAGGGCGGAAUGCACACCAGAAAGAGCAUCUGAACUGUCUCGAAAUAUUCUGAAGAUGAUUGUCCGGGACAUGAGGCCCAUUGCAACGCAUUUUAACAUUUAGAACAAUAUAGACAUACCACAAAAAGAGUAAGAAUUGUUUUGAGUCCUGUUAAAAAGAUGAAAUAACAGUGUUUCCGUUUACAUUUUUCUUUUGCACUAGUUAAUGCCAUUAGCAUUUGACCUCAAUGUUUGUGAUUUAUUAUUGACAUGUUAUUUAUUUACACAUUAAUAAAGAAUUUAGGUGUUCCAAAAUGUUUUUGUGUCUUAAUAAG